GCAAACUGGAUAGCUCAGUUGGUUAGUGCGUGGUGCUGUGAUAACACCAAGGUUGCAAGUUCGUUCCCUGUAUGGGACAGCUGCA